UACGGAAGGCAGCAGGGGGAAUAUUGCACAAUGGGCGAAAGCCUGAUGCAGCUAUGCCGCGUGUAUGAAGAAGGCCUUAGGGUUGUAAAGUACUUUCAUCGGGGAGGAAAAACAAAACUAAUAAUUUUAUUUCUUGACGUUACCCGAAAAAGAAGCACCGGCUAACUCCGUGCCAGCAGCCGCGGUAAUACGGAGGGUGCUAGCGUUAAUCAGAAUUACUGGGCGUAAAGAGCACGUAGGUGGUUUUUUUAAGUCAGAUGUGAAAUCCCUGGGCUUAACCUAGGAACUGCAUUUUGAAACUGAAAUACUAGAGUAUCGUAGAGGGAGGUAGAAUUCUAGGUGUAGCGGUGAAAUGCGUAGAUAUCUGGAGGAAUCCUGUGGCGAAAGCGGCCUCCUAAACGAAUACUGACACUGAGGGUGCGAAAGCGUGGGGAGCAAACGAGGGAUUAGAUACC
rnacentral:rRNA from 1 species